rnacentral:rRNA from 1 species
ACUCCUACGGGAGGCAGCAGUGGGGAAUAUUGCGCAAUGGGCGAAAGCCUGACGCAGCGACGCCGCGUGGGUGAUGAAGGCCUUCGGGUCGUAAAGCCCUGUCGGGAGGGACGAAUUCUCCGCGACCUAACACGUCGUGGACCUGACGGUACCUCCGAAGGAAGCACCGGCUAACUCCGUGCCAGCAGCCGCGGUAAUACGGAGGGUGCGAGCGUUGUUCGGAAUCACUGGGCGUAAAGCGCGUGUAGGCGGCUUCUUAAGUCUGGUGUGAAAGCCCGGGGCUUACCCCCGGAAGGGCACUGGAAACUGGGAAGCUGGAGUACCGGAGAGGAGGGUGGAAUUCCUGGUGUAGCGGUGAAAUGCGUAGAUAUCAGGAGGAACACCGGUGGCGAAGGCGGCCCUCUGGACGGAUACUGACGCUGAGACGCGAAAGCGUGGGGAGCAAACAGGAUUAGAUACCCUGGUAGUCCACGCUGUAAACGAUGGGCACUAGGUGUUCGGGGUAUUGACCCCCUGGGUGCCGCAGCUAACGCAUUAAGUGCCCCGCCUGGGGA